AUUGAACGCUGGCGGCAGGCCUAACACAUGCAAGUCGAGCGGAUGAAGGGAGCUUGCUCCUGGAUUCAGCGGCGGACGGGUGAGUAAUGCCUAGGAAUCUGCCUGGUAGUGGGGGAUAACGUCCGGAAACGGGCGCUAAUACCGCAUACGUCCUGAGGGAGAAAGUGGGGGAUCUUCGGACCUCACGCUAUCAGAUGAGCCUAGGUCGGAUUAGCUAGUUGGUGGGGUAAAGGCCUACCAAGGCGACGAUCCGUAACUGGUCUGAGAGGAUGAUCAGUCACACUGGAACUGAGACACGGUCCAGACUCCUACGGGAGGCAGCAGUGGGGAAUAUUGGACAAUGGGCGAAAACCUGAUCCAGCCAUGCCGCGUGUGUGAAGAGGGUCUUCGGAUUGUAAAGCACUUUAAGUUGGGAGGAAGGGCAGUAAGUUAAUACCUUGCUGUUUUGACGUUACCAACAGAAUAAGCACCGGCUAACUUCGUG
rnacentral:rRNA from 1 species